rnacentral:rRNA from 1 species
AAGCCCCGAAAGGGGUAAGUAGAGUGGCAAACGGGUGAGUAACGCGUGGGUGACCUGCCUUCGAGUGGGGGAUAACGUCUCGAAAGGGACGCUAAUACCGCAUGACAUCCUGCUUUUGAAAAAGCGGAGAUCAAAGCUGGGGAUCGCAAGACCCGGCGCUUGGAGAGGGGCCCGCGUCCGAUUAGCUAGUUGGUGGGGUAACGGCCUACCAAGGCGACGAUCGGUAGCCGGCCUGAGAGGGCGGACGGCCACACUGGGACUGAGACACGGCCCAGACUCCUACGGGAGGCAGCAGUGGGGAAUUGUUCGCAAUGGGCGCAAGCCUGACGACGCAACGCCGCGUGGAGGACGAAGAUCUUCGGG